rnacentral:rRNA from 1 species
AGAGUUUGAUCCUGGCUCAGAUUGAACGCUGGCGGCAGGCCUAACACAUGCAAGUCGAGCGGUAGCACAGAGAGCUUGCUCUCGGGUGACGAGCGGCGGACGGGUGAGUAAUGUCUGGGAAACUGCCUGAUGGAGGGGGAUAACUACUGGAAACGGUAGCUAAUACCGCAUAACGUCGCAAGACCAAAGAGGGGGACCUUCGGGCCUCUUGCCAUCAGAUGUGCCCAGAUGGGAUUAGCUAGUAGGUGGGGUAAUGGCUCACCUAGGCGACGAUCCCUAGCUGGUCUGAGAGGAUGACCAGCCACACUGGAACUGAGACACGGUCCAGACUCCUACGGGAGGCAGCAGUGGGGAAUAUUGCACAAUGGGCGCAAGCCUGAUGCAGCCAUGCCGCGUGUAUGAAGAAGGCCUUCGGGUUGUAAAGUACUUUCAGCGAGGAGGAAGGCAUUGUGGUUAAUAACCACAGUGAUUGACGUUACUCGCAGAAGAAGCACCGGCUAA